UACGUAGGGUGCGAGCGUUAAUCGGAAUUACUGGGCGUAAAGCGUGCGCAGGCGGUUCGUUGUGUCGGUGGUGAAAGCCCCGGGCUUAACCUGGGAAUGGCCAUGGAAACUGGCGAACUGGAGUGUGGCAGAGGGGGGUGGAAUUCCGCGUGUAGCAGUGAAAUGCGUAGAGAUGCGGAGGAACACCGACGGCGAAGGCAGCCCCCUGGGCUAGCACUGACGCUCAGGCACGAAAGCGUGGGGAGCAAACAGG
rnacentral:rRNA from 1 species